rnacentral:ncRNA from 2 species
AUUAUGGCUAUGAUAUCUGAUAAAAUCAAAUAAGAAAGUCUGUUUUCCGGUAUAGGGAAUCUGGUGCAAAGCCAGAACGGCCCCGCCACUGUAACAGCGACGAACUCGCAAAGCCACUGGAAUUUCCGGGAAGGCGCGAGGGAGGAUGAACUGGAGUCAGGAGACCGAUCGGAAAGCUUGGUGGUUC